GAUGAACGCUGGCGGCGUGCCUAAUACAUGCAAGUCGAGCGAACAGACGAGGAGCUUGCUCCUCUGACAUUAGCGGCGGACGGGUGAGUAACACGUGGAUAACCUACCUAUAAGACUGGGAUAACUUCGGGAAACCGGAGCUAAUACCGGAUAACAUGUUGAACCGCAUGGUUCAACAGUGAAAGACGGUCUUGCUGUCACUUAUAGAUGGAUCCGCGCCGCAUUAGCAAGUUGGUAAGGUAACGGCUUACCAAGGCAACGAUGCGUAGCCGACCUGAGAGGGUGAUCGGCCACACUGGAACUGAGACACGCUCCAGACUCCUACGGGAGGCAGCAGUAGGGAAUCUUCCGCAAGGGGCGAAAGCCUGACGGAGCAACGCCGCGUGAGUGAAGAAGGUCUUCGGAUCGUAAACCUCUGUUAUUAGGGAAGAACAAAUGUGUAAGUAACUAUGCACGUCUUGACGGUACCUAAUCAGAAAGCCACGGCUAACUACGUG
rnacentral:rRNA from 1 species